rnacentral:rRNA from 1 species
GCUGGCGGCNUGCUUANNCNUGCAAGUCGAACGGUAACAGGAGAGAGCUUGCUCUCUUGCUGACGAGUGGCGGACGGGUGAGUAAUACAUGGGAAUCUGCCCUGAGGUGGGGGAUAACCCGGGGAAACUCGGGCUAAUACCGCAUGAUCUCUUCGGAGCAAAGUGGGGGACCUUCGGGCCUCACGCCUUGGGAUGAGCCCAUGUCUGAUUAGCUAGUUGGUGGGGUAAAGGCCUACCAAGGCAACGAUCAGUAGCCGGCCUGAGAGGGUGUACGGCCACACUGGGACUGAGACACGGCCCAGACUCCUACGGGAGGCAGCAGUGGGGAAUAUUGGACAAUGGGGGCAACCCUGAUCCAGCAAUGCCGCGUGUGUGAAGAAGGCCUGCGGGUUGUAAAGCACUUUUAUCGGGGAAGAAUAGGUUGUCGUUAAUAGCGCCAACACUUGACAUUACCCGUUGAAUAAGCACCGGCUAACUCCGUGCCAGCAGCCGCGGUAAUACGGAGGGUGCGAGCGUUAAUCGGAAUUACUGGGCGUAAAGGGUGCGUAGGCGGAAGCUUAAGUCUGAUGUGAAAGCCCCGGGCUUAACCUGGGAAUGGCAUUGGAAANNNGGGNUUUCUAGAGUGUGGUAGAGGAUAGUGGAAUUUCCAGUGUAGCGGUGAAAUGCGUAGAUAUUGGAAAGAACACCGAUGGCGAANCAGCUAUCUGGGCCAACACUGACGCUGAGGUACGAAAGCGUGGGGAGCAACAGGAUUAGAUACCCUGGUAGU